AACGAACGCUGGCGGCAGGCCUAACACAUGCAAGUCGAGCGCCCCGCAAGGGGAGCGGCGGACGGGUGAGUAACGCGUGGGAAUUUUCCUCAAGGUACGGAACAACUCAGGGAAACUUGGGCUAAUACCGUAUGAUGUCUAGCGACCAAAGAUUUAUCGCCUUGGGAUAAGCCCGCGUCAGAUUAGGUAGUUGGUGGGGUAACGGCCUACCAAGCCUGCGAUCUGUAGCUGGUCUGAGAGGACGAUCAGCCACAUUGGGACUGAGACACGGCCCAAACUCCUACGGGAGGCAGCAGUGGGGAAUCUUGCGCAAUGGGCGAAAGCCUGACGCAGCCAUGCCUCGUGAAUGAUGAAGGUCUUAGGAUUGUAAAGUUCCUUCGCUCGUGACGAUGAUGACGGUAACGAGAGAAGAAGCCCCGGCUAACUUCGUGCCAGCCGCCGCCGUAA
rnacentral:rRNA from 1 species